UAUCAACAGGGGACAGUUCCAGGGGAAAAUGUUUCCUCCCUGCAUCGGUUAAAUACAGCCACAGACUGAUGAGACACAAAAGGUCAAGUGGCAUUCCAUUUUAAGUGCACUGUCUUAUUUAGCAGGAGUGAAAACAAUGACUCUGUAAUCCAUGUCUAUAUUUAACCUGCCAUCAUGAUGUGCUGUAUUAGUGCUGCUAAUGAUUUUGUUUGUUUGUUUGUUUUAUUUAAACCAGCACUUGAAACAACACAACUAGAAAUUCUCUAUCAGAAGAUGUCAGAUCCUGAAAUUCCAGAGCCCCAGGGGAAUCAGUAAUGAAUGGAGUAAAUUCCACUGUUACCUACUGAGACAGAUACUUAAAGCGUCCACAUAUACACCAGGAGACUGGAGUAUGUCUGCAUUUGAAAGGACCCACACCCAGCAACCAUGUUGCUACGUAUCCUAUAUAACCUCAAUAGACAGGACAUGGGACCAAUUCUUUGAAAAGCAGUAAGAGCUGCAGAUGACUGGUCAUCACUGCCAUACAAAAGACACGACUCCAACUGCUUUCUGCUGCAACUUUCCCGUGAGAGCAAACCAUGUACAAGCACCACAGAUGCUGUACCUGAGUCCAUCCAAUUUAGCGGUCUUUGUGCCAGAGCUCUUUGCAUUAUGUCAGCCCCAGCAGCAACUGUCUGUGCCUGCAAGUUUCUUUACAGAUAAGGAACCUGCUUUGCUGCUGUUGUUGUUAAUACAGAGGACCUGGGACUGUCGUUCUGUUCUCAAAAAGAAGAUGACUUCUCAUGCAAAAUACAGCAUGGAAAAAACUACUAAAGACACUUGAUCACUGUCUGUUGCAGGAGUUGUUUUGUAGGUUUAGCUAUUAGAAACUCAGGCUUGUAAUGAACAUUUGAAUUCACAGCUUUUCUCUGAAUUCACAGCAUUUAGAACAAAGCUGACUGACCACUGGUAUCAGCUUGUUGUAAGCUAAGCACAGGACACUACCUACAUAGAGGAAACCAAAAUUCCCUCUAGCAACAUUUCUUUCAAAACACUUCCUUGCAGACUAACACCCAUUUAAACCUAAACACUUCAUUCUUCAUCAGGAAUAAAAAUACAGCUUUAAUGAACAGGGCCAAAAAAAAAAAAUUUCUCUUGAUGUUACUCCCAGAAAACAUUUCUGUUUUCAGCUAGAUGUAGCUCUCAAGGAUAAAAAAGAAUCCAUGAAUCUGUCAGAACAGGAACAUAGCAGCCUUCUAUCUUUUUUUUGCACAACUUACCACCAGGUAAGACUAAAAUAAUUUCUGCUUGUUCUGCUUUUAUAGUUCUUGUUAUUAUAUGCUAACUACUGCAGCACACCGUUUUAAAAACACUCCUCAACAGAGAGGUUUUUUCGAGAACAGUAGAGGUCCCAGGAGUGCCACACACACAGCCCAGCAGGUCCCCUGUUAUAAGAGAUGCACUGGCUGGAGUCAUUGCCAUUGGCACGAUGCGCAAACCUGUCGGAUCAGGAGACAGGCUGAGCUCCUCAGGCCCGUGCCUUAAGUUAGCACUGCUGAGAUGGUGAUAAAGAAGUAGUCAGACUUCUUCACCAGCAAAAUCCUUAAAGGUUGUUUUAAUAAUGUUCUGUGUGUUGCUAAAGGGCAAGUUCUGUGCCCAAAGUUAAUGGUUUCCUACUUGAUGCCCUUUAGACUUUGAGAGACAAGCAUUUCAGAUUCAGUAGUUUCUCUCAUGAAUAUACUUUUCCAACUGUCUCUUGCAAAAUGCAACCCAGGAAGGCAAAAUAUUUAGCAGCAGAAUGUGCCUCAUUUUCAACCAUUCUGUCAGCUUUGUUUCAAAGAAGCUGAAGUACAGUUUACAUCUCUCCCUCCUGAAAUCCAACAACUGAUGGAAACAACACAGGACAAUAUAAAAGUGCCAGUGGGACAUCUGUAACUCCUUAAAAACAACAGAACAAGCAGCAAGUCAUUAGUAAGACUACUGAAACCCACAAAUUAAAUUAUAUAUUUCUCCCCUGAGGAAAAUGGGAGACUGAGCAUCAUAAACUAUUCCAGAGGAAAAGACCAUCUGGGCAGAAUUUUGAAAAUCACAGCAAGUGCAUUAGCAUGGACUGGGCGUUUGGCCAGAGGGAGCUUACCAAAAACUGAAGGCCUCAGGGGGCUCAGUGGACAGUGACCUGAAGGCUGAGCUCAGAAACAACACAAACCAAAAAGAAACUCUUUCCAGCAGCCAGACAAAAUUUGGUUUUGCUUGAAUAACACCAGCAUGUUUCUGUUCUUGAUUAAAAGUAACCAAAUAAACCCACUUAAAAAAUGAAAUAUUGUGAAACCUAAAAAGGAUAGUAACAUUUUAUGGGAUAAAAGACUUUGAGAGUUUUCAGUUUCGUCAUCUCAUUCAGAUAAUUUUAGCCUAGAAAUUAAUAAAAUACAGCCAUUCACACCAUUUGCCCCAGGAAACUGCUUUUUAUACCUUUCCUACAUACACAGUCAGUGAACAAAAGGUAAAUCAAGGAACCUUAAUCGAGCCUGGGAAAAAAAUCUUCCCCUUUCCAUGGAGUUGCAUACCUAAGGUUGGGCUCCCUGAACAUCUUUUAGAUGCCCACCAUCAGAAACUCACAAGGAAUGAAAGAUCUGCUUUCUGAUCUGCUUUCGUCACCCCAUGGCCAAAAUUUUGGGAUUAGCAGACUUCUCAGAAAAGGUAGGCAAGGAUCCAGUCACUCUGUGCAUAAUCAGAAACUGCACAUUAGAUUUCAGCUACAAAAAUCUUUCCAGCAGCGCAGGACUCACACUAGGCUUAAGUUACUACCCCAUUCUCAGAGAAGUGCACGUGAACACCUACUACCAGAGAGUGAAGGACAAGGCCACCAUUCCAACAUUAACAUUUGCAGACAAGCUUUUCAUUCUGAAAACAUCUGCAUAAAUCUGUUAGCCCCAGCACAUUUAUUGUCAUUCCCUAGGGGAUAACCAAGAUCAAGAUCUGAUCUUUCGUUUUCACCACAUAGUCCAAUAAACAGUAGAUACACAUUUAGAAAAAGCCUAUUUUGAGAACUGAUUUUUAAAGAUGGAUAUUUAUCAUUUUUGCUGCAGAAUAAAUGGGUAGGUUAGGUUUAAUUGAUGUUUAUUAAGGUCUGUGAAAGUUGCUAUAUGAGGGACAAAUGCAAUUAUCUUUACUAUGGGAAUAAAUGUAUAAUGAAAUCCUAGCUUUCCCUUGUUAAAAUAACAUACUUCACAAUAAGUAUAGAUUUUGGCAAAGCAGUGUUCCCCUGCCACACAGCACAUGUUUAAUGAAGUUACUCCUCAGCUGUUACUGCACUGAACUGAGCCAAAAAGAGAUAAGCUGAGUUGGUAAGUACUGCUAGUCCAUUAAAAUGGAAACCUCCACUGAAGAAAAACACUUUACAGUUUCAAUCUAAAAAGUAUGUCAGCUUAUUGAAAAGACAAUCAUUCUGUCUUUUCACAAAGUAAUUAGAGCAGAAAGCAAUCACAUAAGGGAAUUAAGUAUUUGUGGUCAGAUUUCCCAUCAGGAUCACUCAGACCAGAUGUAUUUAUACAACCCUUUGCCUUGUCACAUUCCAGCCAGCAGCAGCUCUGGCACAGGUAUACUGAAAGAAUGCCAAUGGCACUUGCAUGCCCUGCAAUUAAUAUGCAAGCUUUUAAUUUACAUAUUUUAAAAAUUAGUUUCAAGGAAGGUAAUCAAAAGCCGUUUUCUUAACAAAACAAACUAUCUUCUCUGGCUUGAAUAAAUGAUCCCAUUAUUACAUAGCCUACACAAACACAGAUGGGAAGAUUUUUUGGUUUCAGAAAAAAAACAAGACUUUUUUUGCAUGGAAAACCAUGUCACUGGAACAGUAUGUGCUGCAAAAUGGAGCUUUAAUAGUCAAUAAAGGCAGAAAAAAAGGCACUGCUUGCUACCUCAUAGCUAGCAGGUUUUCAAAUUAUGGAAUUCAUCUGUCACACUCCACUUAGCAUAUCUGUAUCACUUCAUGAAGUAAUGCCACCAUCAGAUGGUUAUUUUAAUAGUAAACAGGUAAAUGAAUAGUGUAAAGGGUAAUAGAAUGGGGAGGAAAAAGAGACAAGACCAUUAAGUCAAGAUUUUUUUUUCUCUUUUUCUCUGACACUGAAGAGUAAAGAUUCCUCUUUCAUUUUCUUUGAAAGGGGAGGAAUGUUUAAAAAAAAAAAAAGAAAAAAGAGAGAGAGACAUAUUAAAAAGGCAAUUUAAUACAGGAGAAAUCUUCAAGCUUAUUUCAGGGGCAGAUCUCUAGUGGUGCUUGCAAGGUGCUUCUCAAGGGUCAACAGACACAAAGAACCUAAUUGCAUGGAUUUACAUAAAGAAAACUGUGAUCCAAACUUAAAAAUUACUUGAGAUUUGUCCCUAAAAAUUCAAAGCCUCCAUCUUUACGGUCUUUGUUCUCCAAAGCAGCUCAUAAGCCAUGGUCUCUGACACGUAGUUCUCAAGGUCUAGGCUGCAAAGUCUGCAGCGCUCUCGAGCAGGCUGGCUGUGCCCACACUGCCUCCUGAGUGGGCUGUAUGGAACCUGCAUGGGUGGGCACAACUCAGCCCUUUGAGCCUCCACAGCAGAGGCAGAGGUUGAAACUGCAAAGAGCCUCAGGCAAUUCUCCAAAUGUGCGUUCAUGCAUUCCCUCUUUUCCAAGUGCUUAUAUCAAGACACCGAAAGGGAAAACCAUCUCCCUCGAGGGUGAGGUGCAGAAGUGAGGAUUCAGCAGGAAGAUUGCUUGAUAGAACAUCUUGGUCUGUCUUUUUCCUGGUGGCUGGCUUGCCAUAGCUGCACAGGAAAUGGCCAUCCUGUUUUGCAUUAUGAAGAGGUUCCCCACCUUCCCCAUGCUCCAAGCAGGGAGCAAAACACACAGGUCCACUCCACCAUGGGAACUGGGGAGCUGUGGAAAUGUGGACUGCUCUCACAUUUGUUAGCACAGCUGAAGCUGUUGGGAGAUUGUAGUAGCACUUGAGUUUUACUCUGAUGUUUCCCUCAGUUGCUCCAUUUCCAGCACUAACUUGGGCCAGAGAGGCAGCACAAAGCACAACUGUAUCCUGGAAGCUCAGGGCUGCAACAAUUCAUGUUUUGUUUUUAACCUGCUUUCAGUUGUUCCUUUCGAUCACCGCUCCUACAUCAUGGAGAGCAUGGAGACCUGGGGAGUGAGUGGGACAAAAAAAGUAGAGCUUCUGCACACAGGGCAUGUUUCUGUGUGCGAAGCCCUAGACCUCUGAUAUGUGUAGCCCACGCACAAAAUCUGCCUCCUUAUAUAUUGCUGCACACAUACUACCACAUUUAUUAAGCCUCCGACUAGAAAAGAGUUCUGAGUCUUCUUCAAGUCUUCCCAUUCCUCCUCAUAAAAUACAGUGUACCAAUUGCACGGGAGAUUAUCUGAAUUUUGCAAAGAUCUUCUGUUCAUUAUUUACUAGAAGACAAUAGCAUACAUUCAGGGUAUAUAAAAAUAUUUUAUUCACUAUCUUCAGUUGACUCUUAUUUUUCCUCUACCCCAGUAACAGUUAAUACAUUUGUACACAUUCUCAGUGUGGUAUUUCAGAUUCCACCUGCAGAUAUAUCUUUUUGUCUUUGAAAUAUCUGUGAACUGCAUUAAAUUAUCAGCUGUAAGCCAUCUUCUGUUGAUAACUUUAUCAUUUUACUGCCCUGAAUUAUUCAUACAAAGCCAACACCAUAUCGCUAUAUUAUUACAGGAAAGCAAUUAAGGUAGAAUAUAUGGCUUUGAGAAAACAGAAAUCCCUGUAUUCUGUUGCACAGAGCAGAUUGUUUCCAUCCCCUACUUAGGUCCGUGUCAGAAGUUUGCAGAGCUCUUUGGGUGUAUGUGUGAGUAAAGGGGAUGGAUGUUUAACAGUGUUACCAGUUGCAAAGGGAAAUAAAGACAGGUCAUUUUUCUUAGCCCUGCUGCCUGGCUCCAGCAGACCACUUGUCAUCAAAGCACAUAUAAAGAAGCUGAGUGCAAUUUUUUCCCUGGUCACAGCUGGUGAAACAGAGGCAUGGCACAGCCUGCCUCCAGUUAUGCUCACAGUUUUUGCCUGCUGCAAGGCUCCUGCAGUGCUCAAAUGCUGGCUCAGUGCAUGAACUGCUUUGCCACACAAGCACAGGAGCAGACAAAACCCCAGCCUCAUCCCACAGGCUGGAACAGGCUGGUUUUAAAAAUGCAGCCACUGUUUUCAGGUGUCUUAACACCCGUGUAUUACUUUCAUGUCCUUGUGAAUGCUACUGAUCCCUUAAUACCAGCCAGUAAAUCAAAGCCUACAUUGUGACUUACUUUAUGGAAGAAUUCAAAUCCAUACAGGCACCAAUCUUAUGCCUGUUUGAAACCUGAUUUGGUAAAGACACACUUCUUUCACAGGGCACUCCUUAGAUGAGAUAAGAGUACCCAGUACUUGUCAGAGGGUGUUAUUUUUUUCUUUCAACAACUCUUGAAACACUGAAUAAAGCACUCUCCAACCUAAAAUGCAUAUCAGUAAUGGACAGAGUUGAUUUAUUGAAAUCAACUGGGAAAUUCGUAUAGACAGAUAGCACAGUUUUUGUGUUUAGACCAGAUUUAAUGCAAACAUGCCAUACACGAAACAGGAAUUGUCCCCACACAUUCUCGUAAAGCCAUCAUUAUGGCCUGGAACAGCCAGUUUGUGAAAAAAAAUAAUCCUGUUGAUGAAUGGUGCUGACAGAAAAUGGAAACAUUCCACAGUGAAACAUCUCCCUAAAGCUCCCUGUUCAUCUUCAAAAGCUUUUGCUUUGAGAAAGCAUAAAUGCUAUAAGACAGACAGACAUACAUAUAUACAUAUAUAUGUAUAUUUUACUUUGUUUUACUAGUUCCAGUAAUGAGUUAUUCUUUCCUAGGAGCACCAAAGAAGUUAAUGAAACAUUUUCUCACUCUACAGAGAUCUAUUUUGGGUAAUAACUGUGAAACAGGAAAGGGAAAAAAAAAGAUUAAGUAAAAAUAAGAAAAUCUUGCCCAACAGGUUCAAAUUCUGAGGGAGGGUGGGGGUAGCAGAAAUAAAAAAGUCCCUCUUCUUUGAAAAGCUGAAUUGUUUAAAAAAAUGCAUAAAGAAAUUCUUCCUGCUUUGGUACUCUCCCCUACAUCAGCAACUGUGUCUUCUCACAACUCUGGAAAUGGUAAGGUGGGACCACAAAGCAAACUUGGACUACACAGUCAAGUUAAAAAGACCAAAACAUGCAGCAAUUAUAUAUGGAAACUGAAGUGAGGCCUUUUCCCUAUGCCCAAUGCUGUGCAGCAGCCAGAUGAAACCGCAGCCCAAAGUGAAUAACAAAAUGGCAAGGCUGAGACUUGGACAUGUCCAGCAUGUCCUUGAGGCAUACAGGACAUCUCAAGCCUGUCCAAAAAUCCUGACCACUGGGCAGUGGAAAUUAUUGGGCAGAGAGGAACUAUUCCUGUGAGCAACAAUUAGGAAAGAAAAAUAGACCCUCCUGCCUUUAGGUAGCUCUGUCCUCCUGCUAAUAUGUCUUUUGUUAUCAACUGGAAGCAGCCCUCAUGGAUGUAGAAUGAAGAAAAAUCACCUCUAGGUUUGCCAGAAACCCCUUUAGGUUCAACAGAUAGAAAAAAAAAACCCUGUCAAGUCACUGUCUCUGUCAUUUGGAAAUGAAACAAUGGUCGAAUUGGUACUAUUCGUUUAUUCACAUUCACCAACCCAGAGCAUAAAAAAAACAGGGAGCUGGCAGGUUAGCUGAACAUAACAUGCUGUGUAAUUUAUUAUACACAGCUCCCUAAUGAGCUGUGAAAUAAAUUCAGAUGUGGCCAUUUUAGCAAAUUCAGAAUAAUCUCUGUCUCUCAAAUAUCUCAGCUAAUGAUUCUCAGUUUGUUCACAAACGUAAGUGUUACUCCCCUACUCGGUCGCUACUGGUUUUAAGGUAAGGGGAGCAGCAACAACUCUGUGUCUCUUCAUCACAGAGGUACCUGAAUGCUCCAGCCAAGCUCAAGUUUCUCUCCUGUUUGCAGCUGUACAGUCUCUUUGCAGUGUCCUCACUGCAGGGGGGACAUUUUCUAAGAAUUUUGAGACAGCUCAGAAAACAUCUUUUGAUCCGAGAACUUUGCAAGGCCUAUCAUGGCUACUCUUCCAUAUAGUUAUCAUCACUUUUCUCCGUUUAACCAUAAAACCAAUUCUCUACUAAGCAUAUCUUAUAAGCUAGGGUUGUUUAUUGGUUUGUGGGGUUUUUUUCAGAUGGAAGAGGACCAGAUAUUCAUUCAGGGUAGCAAAAAAAUACAGUGGAUUUGUGUUUAUGAGUCUCAAACAUCUAUGAUGGCUUGCAACAGGUAAGAUGCACAUAUUAGAGCUCAAGACUGCAAAACAGCUAUAAGUUUGUAUGCUAUAAACACACAAUCUUUCUCAACCUGCAAGACAUUUGUAUUCUGUCACACCCAGUUUUAAGACUCAGGAGAAGGUGAUUUUCAGACUAUCAUAUUUCAUCAGCAAGAAGCUUUCUGGAUACUCAUUUACAAUAUUCCCUUUCUUAAUUAAGUCCAACUACUUCUAGUUACACCUUUGUGUGCUUCAUUAAAUCAUUUAAUUUCCUCCUUGGUAUUUAACAGCCUUCAGUUAUUUGCAGACUGCUGAGCUCUGUUCUCACCCUUUAGGUUGGCUAGUGGCCAAAACUAAACUAGCCAGCUCAGAUCCUCAGCUGGCAUAAAUCACUUUAGUACUUUUAAUCUUUCUCAUACUGUACAAGUCGUUCAUCCCAAGUCAAUGACCUGCUCAUCAAUUUUUUCUCUUUCAGCUCUGACCUCUCCCUACUGAUAACACAAUGCCCAGACUCAGCAUGAUGUUCAAGAAAUGAGUGCUCCAGAGAAUUUCUGCGAAGGCGGCCCAGAUUGCUACUGCCUUUUUCUAAAUGGGUUGCAAAUCAGUAUCUAUUUCUGGUCUACUAUCAGAAUACCAGACUCCCUGUCUCCUUCAAUAUUUUCUUUCCCUACUGUAUAAAUGUGUGUGGUUUUGAUAAAACCACUGGACAAAAAAUACAAUUUAAUAAAACUUAACUCAUUUCCA